CGUCCCGCUGUAACUCAAGCUCACAAACCCAGGUAACAUCCCGGUGAAUCUCCUCUGCAUCCUUUCC